ensembl:lncRNA
CAGAGAUCUUCCUGAGAAAAUCAAUUUGGUUUGUGCAUGUGUCAGUGCUGCACCAUGGUCCAGCGGGGAUUGACUGCAAUGCAUCAUGGGAGAGUAGCCCAUCACAGGUGUUUUACAAGAAAGUCCCGUUCAAGGCAACCUUGAUGAAUCCCGUGCAUAAGAGAUCAGACCUGAUGUCAGAGCUCAUAAGAGUCGGAAGCAUCAGUGAAGGACGAGCGGCGCGGCGCGUCUCUCACUGAUAAAUUGCAUAAUGGACACCUCGGCUGGUCUGGGCCUUUGGGACGCGGGUCAUCUUACAGUGGCCAGAUGCUGUUUCAGACACACGAAUGAAGACCACCGGUGACUCGGGAAUGUGUCUGAUCUUUCCGGACACGACAGCGCUCACGCCGUUUGGCUGAAUAAUGCAUUGCUCACACUUGAGUGAAGUGGAGCUUCAGCGAGACGAGGUCAGAUCUUCUGCCAGGGAUUUGGGAUCAUCUGCCAGCCGUGUGCUCUCAUUUAACAGUCGUCCUUACUAGUCAUUUACACCACUUUUUAAUGCUGUGAUAAAAUAGUAUUCUAGCUGCAUAGUAUGAUUGAUGAAACAUGUUUGUUUGUAUUUAUUUUUUUUUACAUUGUAAAUGCCUUUGUAUUAUGCUAUUAAUUUAUUUAUUUAAUGGUGUCAUAGUAAUACUAUGGCCUUUGGACAUGUACCAUGGUAAUACUGUGUUUUUGAAUAAUUAUAUAAAUACAUAUAAUUCAUAUGAAAG